AACGUAGGUGGCGAGCGUUAUCCGGAAUUACUGGGCGUAAAGAGUGUGUAGGCGGUGCUCUAAGUUUGGUGUGAAAUCUCCCGGCUUAACUGGGAGGGUGCGCCGAAGACUGGAAGGCUUGAGUAUGGGAGAGGUAAGCGGAAUUCCUGGUGUAGCGGUGAAAUGCGUAGAUAUCAGGAGGAACACCUGCGGUGUAGACGGCUUACUGGACCAUAACUGACGCUGAGGCACGAAAGCGUGGGUAGCAAACAGG
rnacentral:rRNA from 1 species